UACAGAGACUGCAAGCGUUAUUCGGAUUCACUGGGCGUAAAGGGUGCGCAGGCGGCCGAGUGUGUGAGGCGUGAAAGCCCGGGGCUUAACCCCGGAAUUGCACCUCAAACUACACGGCUAGAGCAUUGGAGAGGGUAGCAGAAUUCAUGGUGUAGCAGUGAAAUGCGUAGAGAUCGGGAGGAACAUCUGUGGCGAAGGCGACUGCCUGGACCAGCACUGACACUGAGGCACGAAAGCGUGGGGAGCAAACAGG
rnacentral:rRNA from 1 species